rnacentral:lncRNA from 1 species
AAUGGCGCCGGCAGCCAAGGGGAGGGGCGGGGCGCGGGCAGUCUCGGCGCGAAGAGCCCAGAGGCGCGGAGUUUCGCUAAUGCGCGUGUGCGGGAGAAAGAGGAGGAGAGCAGCAGAGGGCUCGGAGCCGAUUGGCAGCUGUGCCUGACGCUGCCACCAUGUAAGGGAGAAACCCCCCCCUGCAGGAGGCAGGGCGAGCCCGGGGGGUGGCAGCGGCGCCACCCCCGGGGGGAGGAGCGGGGUCGGAGCCGCACAAAACGGCACCGAGCCCCGGAAGUGCGCUGGCAUUCGACUUCCGACUCUGAGUCCAGCAGCAGCUCCGGCAGCUCGGAAGAGCUGUCGGGAGCCGGCUGGGACUCUAAGACGAAGGGAACGGACCCAACACAAUUUAAAACAAAACCAAGUAAAGCUUUAAGCUGCACCGAAAAGCAGCCACAAUACGAACCAGUUUACCGACUGGGGAGAAAUAAAAAUAGCCUGUGCCGAAUGGUCCCCAGCGGCCACCGUACAAGCCUUCCCGGUGAGGAUCACCGGCCCGGAAGGGAACCAGCAGAGGGUAUAUGCCCCGGUAAACCCAAAAGAUGUACAGUCAAUUGUCAAAGCCAUUGCAGAAAAAGGAAUCAAUUCGGCCAUGGUCUCCACAUUAAUCGAUGGUCUUUUUAGUAAUGACGACCUGCUUCCCUUUGAUAUCGAGUGAAUAGGUCGCAUGAUACUUGAUGGUGCCGGAAUGAUUGUGUUUAGACAGGAAUGGGAGGAUAAUUGUACAAAGCUAUUAGCCCAAGCAUCUGGCGCGAGGCAGCCACUACGCGGAUCGACUUUAUCCAGGCUUAUGGGAAAGCACGAUGAUAUGAUCACGCCUCAGCAACAAGCCACACAGAUGCGGGCUGAGGAGGUCAGGGCGACCACUCGGGCUGCUAGGGAGGCUAUUCGUGCAGCCUCCCGGGUCGUGGCCAAGCCGUCACCGUGGUCCACCGUGAGGCAGGCAGAGAGCGAAAGCUUCAC